UCUAGUAUAAGCAUCUAUACCGUGAAACUGCGAAUGGCUCAUUAAAUCAGUUAUCGUUUAUUUGAUAGUACCUUACUACUUGGAUAACCGUGGUAAUUCUAGAGCUAAUACAUGCUAAAAACCUCGACUUCGGAAGGGGUGUAUUUAUUAGAUAAAAAACCAGUGCCCUUCGGGGCUCUCUGGUGAUUCAUAAUAACUUAACGAAUCGCAUGGCCUUGUGCCGGCGAUGGUUCAUUCAAAUUUCUGCCCUAUCAACUUUCGAUUGUAUGGUCUUGGCUUACAAUGGUUUCAACGGGUAACGGGGAAUUAGGGUUCUAUUCCGGAGAGGGAGCCUGAGAAACGGCUACCACAUCCAAGGAAGGCAGCAGGCGCGCAAAUUACCCAAUCCCGACACGGGGAGGUAGUGACAAUAAAUACUGAUACAGGGCUCUUUUGGGUCUUGUAAUUGGAAUGAGUACAAUUUAAAUCCCUUAACGAGGAACAAUUGGAGGGCAAGUCUGGUGCCAGCAGCCGCGGUAAUUCCAGCUCCAAUAGCGUAUAUUAAAGUUGUUGCAGUUAAAAAGCUCGUAGUUGAACCUUGGGCCUGGCUGGCCGGUCCGCCUCACCGCGUGCACUGGUCCGGCCGGGCCUUUCCUCCUGGGGAGCCGCAUGCCCUUCACUGGGUGUGCCGGGGAACCAGGACUUUUACUUUGAAAAAAUUAGAGUGUUCAAAGCAGGCCUAUGCUCGAAUACAUUAGCAUGGAAUAAUAGAAUAGGACGUGUGGUUCUAUUUUGUUGGUUUCUAGGACCGCCGUAAUGAUUAAUAGGGAUAGUCGGGGGCAUCAGUAUUCAAUUGUCAGAGGUGAAAUUCUUGGAUUUAUUGAAGACUAACUACUGCGAAAGCAUUUGCCAAGGAUGUUUUCAUUAAUCAGUGAACGAAAGUUAGGGGAUCGAAGACGAUCAGAUACCGUCGUAGUCUUAACCAUAAACUAUGCCGACUAGGGAUCGGGCGAUG
rnacentral:rRNA from 1 species